UGAAUUGGUCAUACCAGUCUGAAAGUGCCUGAUCUCGUCAGAUCUCAGAAGUCAUGCAGACUUGGGCCUGCUUAGAGGGGUUGUCGGUGUUUCUCUAC